rnacentral:rRNA from 1 species
GACGAACCGUGCGAACGUUGUUCGGAAUCACUGGGCUUAAAGGGCGCGUAGGCGGGCGGUCAAGUCCGGGGUGAAAUCUUUCGGCUCAACCGGAAAAUUGCCUUGGAUACUGGCCGCCUCGAGGGAGGUAGGGGCAUGUGGAACUUCCGGUGGAGCGGUGAAAUGCGUUGAUAUCGGAAGGAACGCCGGUGGCGAAAGCGACGUGCUGGACCUCUUCUGACGCUGAGGCGCGAAAGCCAGGGGAGCAAACGGG